rnacentral:rRNA from 1 species
GAUGAACGCUAGCUACAGGCUUAACACAUGCAAGUCGAGGGGAAACGACAUCGAAAGCUUGCUUUUGAUGGGCGUCGACCGGCGCACGGGUGAGUAACGCGUAUCCAACCUGCCCACCACUUGGGGAUAACCUUGCGAAAGUAAGACUAAUACCCAAUGACGUCUCUAGAAGACAUCUGAAAGAGAUUAAAGAUUUAUCGGUGAUGGAUGGGGAUGCGUCUGAUUAGCUUGUUGGCGGGGUAACGGCCCACCAAGGCGACGAUCAGUAGGGGUUCUGAGAGGAAGUCCCCCANAUUGGAACUGAGACACGGUCCAAACUCCUACGGGGAGCAGCAGUGAGGAAUAUUGGUCAAUGGACGGGAGUCUGAACCAGCCAAGUAGCGUGCAGGAUGACGGCCUAUGGGUUGUAAACUGCUUUUAUAGGGGGAUAAAGUGUGCCACGUGUGGCAUAUUGCAGGUACCCUAUGAAUAAGGACCGGCUAAUUCCGUG